CACUGCUGGUAAGUAUGGUACGAAGCUCUCACUGAUGCCAAGUAGCCACACAGAUCAUUCAAUCUCUACAGAUUAUCCACUCGAAGCUCUGAUCGGAUCUUCCUUCUUAGGAGUGCUAGCUCGCGUCGAAGGCCCUGGAUGGCUGAUCCAAGCUUCUUUCUUUAGAUCUCCCAGACUCCUCCAGAUCAGAAGAUAAAGUUUUAUGAGAAGGUGG
rnacentral:lncRNA from 1 species